AUGAACGCUGGCGGCGUGCCUAAUCCAUGCAAGUCGCGCGAACAGACGAGGAGCUUGCUCCUCUGACGUUAGCGGCGGACGGGUGAGUAACACGUGGAUAACCUACCUAUAAGACUGGGAUAACUUCGGGAAACCGGAGCUAAUACCGGAUAAUAUAUUGAACCGCAUGGUUCAAUAGUGAAAGACGGUUUUGCUGUCACUUAUAGAUGGAUCCGCGCCGCAUUAGCUAGUUGGUAAGGUAACGGCUUACCAAGGCGACGAUGCGUAGCCGACCUGAGAGGGUGAUCGGCCACACUGGAACUGAGACACGGUCCAGACUCCUACGGGAGGCAGCAGUAGGGAAUCUUCCGCAAUGGGCGAAAGCCUGACGGAGCAACGCCGCGUGAGUGAUGAAGGUCUUCGGAUCGUAAAACUCUGUUAUUAGGGAAGAACAAAUGUGUAAGUAACUAUGCACGUCUUGACGGUACCUAAUCAGAAAGCCACGGCUAACUACGG
rnacentral:rRNA from 1 species